rnacentral:rRNA from 1 species
UACGUAGGAGGCGAGCGUUGUCCGGAUUUACUGGGCGUAAAGAGCGCGCAGGCGGCACGCUAAGUACACCGUGAAAUCUCCCUGCUCAACGGGGAGGGAGCGAUGUAGACUGGCGAGCUAGAGUGCGGGAGAGGAGAGUGGAAUUCCUGGUGUAGCGGUGAAAUGCGCAGAUAUCAGGAAGAACACCCGUGGCGAAGGCGGCUCUCUGGAACGCAACUGACGCUGAGACGCGAAAGCGUGGGGAGCAAACAGG